CGGGUCCUCCCACACCGCGGGGUCCCUGUGGAUGGCGUACGCGUUCACGAUCAGCAGCGUCCCGCGGGGCACGUCGUAGCCGCCGACCUUGCAGUCCGCCGCCGACUCGUGCGGCAGCAGCAGCGGAGCGGCCGGGUACAUGCGCAGGGUCUCGUUGAUGACGCAGUGCAGGUAGCCGAGGCGGGGCACGUCGUCGGCGGUGAUCAGGCGGCGGGAGUUGCCCACCACCGCGUCGAUCUCUGCCUGUGCCUUCUUCAGAGCCUCCGGGUGGCUCAGAAGAAGCGACAUGGCCCAUUCUGUCGUGACCGAUGUGGUCUCCGUCCCGGCGCCAAACAAGUCCUUCAAAUCACAGGGGAAAAAGAAGAAAACGACACACAUUUUAUCACUACUCCUUUCGUUUAGUGAUUUUUUUUUGCAUCAUAGAAUAUGUUCCCUUAUUAGCAAACGUUGCCCGAAAGAAAGUACUAUCCGAAACACUCACCCCGCACAGCGCCAUGAUCAUGGUAUCCGUGUACAGCUCCGGCUCCGACUUCUGCAAAGAGAGCAGCACGGCGAUCAUGCUCUUCUUCUCGCCGUCGCCGUCACCGUCCAUCCUCCGGCGCUCUGCGUCGAUGAGCCGCCGCAGGAACGCGUCCCUCCACCUCACGGCGGCCAUGAGCUUGUUCCUCACGCCGAACACGUC
rnacentral:misc_RNA from 1 species